rnacentral:rRNA from 1 species
CUUGGUGGUAGUAGCAAAUACUCCAGCGAGGCCCUGGAGGACUGACGUGGAGAAGGGUUUCGUGUGAACAGCCGUUGCACACGAGUCAGUCGAUCCUAAGCCCUAGGCGAAAGCCGAUGUCGAUGCGGUGUAGAAUUUAUUUAUUGUUGUGUUUAUUUAUU